CUGACUCUGAUCCAGCGUCCAGCUCCUUGGCUCUACUACCGGCCGGUCGUCCAACAACAGUGGAGCUCGACUCAGAGAAUUUUUUUUUAUUUUUAGCCCAUUUUUAAAACAAAUUUCAAUUUUGACACGUUUUUGAAAAAAAUUUCAAAUCUAGGCCGUUUGGCCCCGCCACCAUGCAUGGCGGGACAAAAUCACUGCACCCCGCCAUGCAUGGUGGCGGGGUACACCCUGCCACGUGGCAUUUGCAUGG
rnacentral:lncRNA from 1 species